rnacentral:misc_RNA from 1 species
AUUUCUUUAUUAAUUUUUAAUAAAUAAUUUAUAUUAAAUAUAAAAAUAUAUUUAUAAAAAAAAAAGACGACAAGACCCUAUUAAAUUUUACUUAUAGUUUAGCUGGGGAAGCUUUUCAAUUAAAAUUUUUUAAUUUAAAUAAAUAAAAAUCUAAUAAAAUUAAAAUUUUAAUAAAUUACUAUAGGGAUAACAGCAUUAUAUUUUUUAAAAGUUCAUAUUAAAAAAAAUGAUUGUGACCUCGAUGUUGAAUUAUAUUUUCUAUAUUAAAUGCAAUAAUUAUAAAAGUAGAUCUGUUCGAUCUUUAAAAUAUUACAUGAUUUGAGUUCAAACCGGUGUAAACCAGGUUGGUUUCUAUCUUUUUAUACAUUUUUCUAGUACGAAAGGACAAAAAAAUUUUUAUUUUAAUAAAUUAGCAAAUAAAUGCAUUAGAUUUAGAAUCUAAAUACAAUUAAUAAUU